GACGAACGCUGGCGGCGUGCCUAAUACAUGCGAGUCGAGCGAACAGACGAGGAGCUUGCUCCUCUGACGUUAGCGGCGGACGGGUGAGUAACACGUGGAUAACCUACCUAUAAGACUGGGAUAACUUCGGGAAACCGGAGCUAAUACCGGAUAAUAUAUUGAACCGCAUGGUUCAAUAGUGAAAGACGGUUUUGCUGUCACUUAUAGAUGGAUCCGCGCCGCAUUAGCUAGUUGGUAAGGUAACGGCUUACCAAGGCAACGAUGCGUAGCCGACCUGAGAGGGUGAUCGGCCACACUGGAACUGAGACACGGUCCAGACUCCUACGGGAGGCAGCAGUAGGGAAUCUUCCGCAAUGGGCGAAAGCCUGACGGAGCAACGCCGCGUGAGUGAUGAAGGUCUUCGGAUCGUAAAACUCUGUUAUUAGGGAAGAACAAAUGUGUAAGUAACUAUGCACGUCUUGACGGUACCUAAUCAGAAAGCCACGGCUAACUACGUG
rnacentral:rRNA from 1 species